rnacentral:misc_RNA from 1 species
GCGUCCCGACACCACCGCGGAAGGCCUCGCAAGCCUGAAGCCGGUGCGCGAAGGCGGCUCCAUCACCGCCGGCAACGCCAGCCAGCUGUCGGACGGCGCCAGCGCCACCGUGAUCAUGAGCGACAAGGAAGCCGCCAAGCGUGGCCUCAAGCCGCUCGGCAUCUUCCGCGGCUUCGUCGCCGCCGGCUGCGAGCCCGAUGAAAUGGGCAUCGGCCCGGUGUUCGCGAUUCCGCGUCUGCUCCAGCGUCAUGGCCUCAAGAUUGAUGACAU